rnacentral:rRNA from 1 species
UGACGAGCGGCGGACGGGUGAGUAAUGUCUGGGAAACUGCCUGAUGGAGGGGGAUAACUACUGGAAACGGUAGCUAAUACCGCAUAACGUCGCAAGACCAAAGUGGGGGACCUUCGGGCCUCAUGCCAUCAGAUGUGCCCAGAUGGGAUUAGCUAGUAGGUGGGGUAAUGGCUCACCUAGGCGACGAUCCCUAGCUGGUCUGAGAGGAUGACCAGCCACACUGGAACUGAGACACGGUCCAGACUCCUACGGGAGGCAGCAGUGGGGAAUAUUGCACAAUGGGCGCAAGCCUGAUGCAGCCAUGCCGCGUGUAUGAAGAAGGCCUUCGGGUUGUAAAGUACUUUCAGCGAGGAGGAAGGCGUUAAGGUUAAUAACCUUGG